GUGAGGAAUAUUGGACAAUGGGCGCAAGCCUGAUCCAGCCAUGCCGCGUGCAGGAAGACGCAUCUAUGGUGUGUAAACUGCUUUUGUACGGGAAGAAACACUCCCUCGUGUGGGAGCUUGACGGUACCGUAAGAAUAAGGAUCGGCUAACUCCGUGCCAGCAGCCGCGGUAAUACGGAGGAUCCAAGCGUUAUCCGGAAUCAUUGGGUUUAAAGGGUCCGUAGGCGGUUUAAUAAGUCAGUGGUGAAAGCCCAUCGCUCAACGAUGGAACGGCCAUUGAUACUGUUAGACUUGAAUUACAAGGAAGUAACUAGAAUAUGUAGUGUAGCGGUGAAAUGCUUAGAUAUGACAUAGAACACCAAUUGCGAAGGCAGCUGGCUACGCGAAUAUUGACACUCAGGCACGAAAGCGUGGGGAUCAAACAGGAUUAGAAACCCUGGUAGUCC
rnacentral:rRNA from 1 species